UACGGGGGGGGCAAGCGUUGUUCGGAAUUACUGGGCGUAAAGGGCUCGUAGGCGGCCAACUAAGUCAGACGUGAAAUCCCUCGGCUUAACCGGGGAACUGCGUCUGAUACUGGAUGGCUCGAGUUUGGGAGAGGGAUGCGGAAUUCCAGGUGUAGCGGUGAAAUGCGUAGAUAUCUGGAGGAACACCGGUGGCGAAGGCGGCAUCCUGGACCAACACUGACACUGAAAAGCGAAAGCCAGGGGAGCAAACGGG
rnacentral:rRNA from 1 species